rnacentral:lncRNA from 1 species
AAUGCUCUUGUUGGAUCUUGGAUUGGCUAGGAGCCAAGACUUACUCCAAACAAUAGUAGGUCCUAGACUGAAGUUUGGCUUGCAGGAUUUCCAGUUCUUUGACUUUAUUUGAAGCUUUUGCUUCCUAAUGGUGUUUUAGGGUCUCGCGUGGUAUUAGGAUUAGGACUGAACUAUCAACUAGUACAAGUUAUCAAUUUACUAUAAUAGCAAAAUGGAUAUAAUCUGCUUUGGUGUUGGUUAUAGAAUGAUGUAAUUUUAGUGUCAGCUUUUGAACUAUAUAGUGAAUGGGAGAUAAUAUAGUUUUUAUAACAUAGAGCCUUGGAAUGGCUAUUAUAUAAUAUAGGCCCAAUGCGUAAGUAGUCUGCCCCAUCUCCAUUGGACCCCAAAGGAACCUUUAGGGCUGGCAUUGUGAUUUUCAUUCUGCAUUGCAUGUUCCUAGUGCCAUGAAGUCCUUCUCCCUGUACUUCCUCUUCAAUGAGGAGAGUGUUCCUUCUGAGGGGGCCUGAGGGCCAUUAAGCCUGAGAGAAGCCCACUAGUCGUGUUGGGGCCUUGGGCUGUGGCCAUAUGGUGGCUUGUGGAAGCCUGCGGGGCUG